UACGUAGGGGGCAAGCGUUGUCCGGAAUUAUUGGGCGUAAAGAGCGCGUAGGCGGUCCGGUAAGUCGGUUGUGAAAGUCGGGGGCUCAACCCUCGGAUGCCGAUCGAUACUGUCGGGCUCGAGUCCGGAAGAGGCGAGUGGAAUUCCUGGUGUAGCGGUGAAAUGCGCAGAUAUCAGGAGGAACACCAAUGGCGAAGGCAGCUCGCUGGGACGUGACUGACGCUGAGACGCGAAAGCGUGGGGAGCAAACAGG
rnacentral:rRNA from 1 species